rnacentral:rRNA from 1 species
UACGUAGGGGGCAAGCGUUGUCCGGAAUCAUUGGGCGUAAAGAGCGUGUAGGCGGCCUGAUAAGUCGGCUGUGAAAGUCAAGGGCUCAACCCUUGAAUGCCGGCCGAUACUGUCAGGCUAGAGUCCGGAAGAGGCGAGUGGAAUUCCUGGUGUAGCGGUGAAAUGCGCAGAUAUCAGGAGGAACACCGGUGGCGAAGGCGGUUCUCUGGGCUGACACUGACGCUCAUGCACGAAAGCGUGGGGAGCAAACAGG